UAAAAUCCCGCUCACUCCCAAAAAAUGAUUUUUGGUUACCCGCUCAUUACUCCCUCUUCUUCUCAUCUCUGUCGGUCGCCCUAAAUCCCCCAAAUAAGAGUUUGUUUUUCUUCAGCUGAAAUCCCCCAAAUAGAAAUCGGACCGAGCAGCUUUGCAUCAAGGAAGAAGAAGAGUCGGGAAAGCACAAGCAGUUAAGUUGCCCUCAUGGCUUGUGAAGGCGAGUAUUUUUGGCAUGUAAUUCAGCUACAAAAUUUUCAGUAUUAUGGAACCAUUUAUGUUGGGUUGAUUUAUUGGGAUUAACUCUUGCGCUUCACGGUGGUCGUAGCAUCUACUUCGACUGCAUUCCAUCCAAAGCAUGUCUGGAGAAUCUUCUAAGCAGCUGAAGAAAAGAGGUCGACCAAAUCAUUUUCCAACCGGCAACCAAAAGACGAACAAGAGAAUCACGGAUCAAAAAGCUCGACUGGAAAACAGGGAAAUUGUAGUGAAACUUACAGAAGCAGGCCCAAUUGUUAAGCAGCUCUUGGAACCCUUUAGCAGCAUCAAUGAAGGCAACUUGCUGCAGACAGUUACAUAUAUACGGCACCAGCUAGUCUACUAUAUAUUUGAUUAUUGACAGCGAAUAUGAUGGGUGGAUGGAGAUUGAUUUUGCCUUUUUAGCCCCGACCCUUGCUUCAAGCUCCACUACUGGGGUCUGGCUUCCAAAACUAUGAUUUCGUCAUUCUUGAUUCUUGAAGCAAUGUUGUUGAAGAUUCUUUGCAUCCUAAAGACAUUUGUUUUAGAUUCUUAUUUACUGAUUCCUUUCUAUUUAAUGGAUGUUUAAUUAUGUAUGCUUGAAAACAUAUAACUAGUAUAUCUUUUAACUCUUACCGUGUGUUAGGAAAGAAGAUUUGCUGUCUUGGUAUCAUCAUUACUAUCUAGCCAAACCAAAGAUCAUGUUACUCAUGCUAUGUUUUUGAUGGGCAGCCUCCAGAUUUGAAAAAACAAGAGCUUGCUAAGCGUUACUCAAAGAGGGCAGAUGCUACUGAGGAUUUGCAAGAAGCCAUGUUGGUAUUUUUCUUUGGUCAAACAUGGAGUGAUAAGUAAAGUUUUCUUUUGUUGUUUCACCACUACGGAAAUUAAGGUGCUAUUGUUUUUAUUAUUAGACUGGAAAUAAGGAGAACAUUGAAAAAUUAAAUAUGUAGCCAAAAUUUUGUCAGCUGUCAGUAGUAGAUACUCGUAGAGUUCAAUCAAUUCAACGCUGCAAGAAAACGGAAGCGUAUCUAUAAUAACCGUAUUUGUAGUAGUACUAAUUUUUGUUAUAUAAUAAUGAAAGGAAUAUAUGUUCUUUUCCCAUAUAAUGAAAUUUAUUUAUUUAUUUUUUGUUAGGAAA